GAUAAAGUCAUGCAAGUCAUUUGCCAAGCCUGUUGAUUUGAGGAUGAUGAUUCACAUUCAGCUUUCACUAAAGCCUCUUCCUGAGUCGUUUUGCAUCGCUGGCAUGGUUUUCCCAGGCACAGCCUUCACAUACAGCCUGCAUGGUUAUUGGAAGGUUCCAGGCCUCAACAUCCCCAUGGUCAUACCCAGCCUCACCACCCUGCAGGAGGGUGUUCUCAGCCAGGGGAAAGCCAAGUAGAGCUUAAGGAACUGCUUCUGGGUGCUACACUGCAUGACCGAGACCUACUAUCUGUUUACCAGGACAAGGCUUGCUGAGGCACAUUGCAGAGGAUCACAGCCAUUGCUGGAAUUCUGAAAGGAAGUUGCACUGAGCGAUCCUUGCAUGUGUGAGUGUGUGUCCUCUGAGUGGAGCAGAGGAGAGACAGUGAACCAUGUGAAGUACUUGAGUUGAUGACAACUACAGUCGUUGCGUUACUGUAAGUGCAAUAAAAGCUCUGUGAGUAAAAAGCCAAUAAGAAUAAUUUAAUCCACACAAAAGAUGGACAGACAAUGAGGGGGCUUUUAAAACAUGAUGUUAUGAUGGU